UACGUAGGGACCAAGCGUUGUUCGGAUUUACUGGGCGUAAAGGGCGCGUAGGCGGCCGAGCAAGGUCGCGGUGAAAGCCCGGGGCUCAACCCCGGGUCGGCCGUGGCAACUACUCGGCUCGAGCACUGUAGGGGCGGGUGGAAUUCCCGGUGUAGCGGUGAAAUGCGCAGAUAUCGGGAGGAACACCUAUGGCGAAGGCAGCUCGCUGGGACGUUACUGACGCUGAGACGCGAAAGCGUGGGGAGCAAACAGG
rnacentral:rRNA from 1 species